CCCUUAGACGCUCUAGGCGGCACGCGCGCUACAAUGGGUGGUAGAACGUGUAACUGCUCCCGAAAGGGAGGGUGAACCACGAAUACUUACCCGUGAAUGGGAUAGUUUGUUGCAAUUUUCGGACUUGAACUAGGAAUCCCUUGUAAGAAUGCUCAAGAAUAGCGUGCUGAGUACGUCCCUGCCGUUUGUACGCACCGCCCGUCGUUUCUUCCGACUGAUACUCAUUGUGAGUUGCAAGGAUUCUUAUUGAAAAAUUGCUGCGAAUGCUUUGUAUUGGAGGAAGAAAAAGUCGUAACA
rnacentral:rRNA from 1 species